AAAAGUCGUAACAAGGUUUCCGUAGGUGAACCUGCGGAAGGAUCAUUACAGAAUUGAAAUCGACCGACCCUGUUGAAGCGUGGGCUGGUCUCGAGCGAGCGAGUGAGCGAGCCUGCUUGCUAGCUUGCUUGUUUGCUUGCUUGCUCGAGACAAGCAAAAACAAUUGAUGAAUGUACCAGUGAAUAUGAAAAAAAGAAAAACAACUUUUAACAAUGGAUCUCUUGGCUCUUG
rnacentral:misc_RNA from 1 species